rnacentral:rRNA from 1 species
UACGUAGGGUGCAAGCGUUAUCCGGAUUUACUGGGCGUAAAGCGUUCGUAGGCGGAAUUGUAAGUGAUGGGUUAAAUCCUGGGGCUUAACUCCAGACAAGCUCAUCAUACUGUAAUUCUAGAAAUAGUUCGGGGAGGUUGGAAUUCUCGGUGGAGGGGUGAAAUCCGUUGAUAUCGAGAGGAACGCCAAGGGCGAAGGCAUGCCUCUAGGACUUAUUUGACGCUGAGGGACGAAAGCUAAGGGAGCAAAC